GGCUGGUCUGAUGGUAGUGGGUUAUCAGAGCUUAUUAACAUUAGUGUCACUGCAGCUGGUAUACAAACCCCCACUGCUAAAUUUGACUGGCUUUAA
ensembl:misc_RNA Y_RNA Y RNA